rnacentral:rRNA from 1 species
UACGGGGGGGGCAAGCGUUGUUCGGAAUUACUGGGCGUAAAGGGCUCGUAGGCGGCCAACUAAGUCAGACGUGAAAUCUCCCGGCUCAACUGGGAAACUGCAUCGGAAACUGACCGGCUUGAAGGUGGGAGAGGGUAGUGGAAUUCCCGGUGUAGUGGUGAAAUGCGUAGAUAUCGGGAGGAACACCAGUGGCGAAGGCGACUACCUGGACCAGUAUUGACGCUGAGGCGCGAAAGCUAGGGGAGCGAACGGG